ACUACUACUACUACUACUACUACUACUUCUUCUUCUUCUUCUUCUUCCUCUUCUUCUUCUUCCUCUUCUUCUUCUUCUUCUUCUUCUUCUUCUUCUUCUUCUUCUUCUUCUUCUUCUUCUUCUUCUUCUUCUUCUUCUUCUUCUUCUUCUUCUUCUUCUUCCUCUCCUUCUUCUAAAAAGAUUUUUAUUUUAUUUAUUUCAUGUACGUGAAUACACUGUCACUUUCUUCAGACACACCAGAAGAGGGCACCAGAUCCCAUUACAGAUGGUUGUGAGCCACCAUGUGGUUGCUGGGACUUGAACUCAGGACCUCUGGGAAAGCAGUCAGUGCUCCUAACCACUGAACCACCUCUCCAGCCCCAACCUUGAACUUCUUAUCCUUUUGCUUGCAGAGAUCACCAGAGCACGAUCUCCACACUGGUUUUGUGUGGUACUCGGGGUAGAAUCCAGGCCUCCUGCAUACUGAAGUGCUGAGCUCUGCAGUCUCAACCCGCAGUCCCAGUAUUUAAUGGAAACCUGAGUGCAUCAAAGGCUGAGCAUGUCUCUGCUCCAGGGCUUGGCCAAGAAAGGAAGGAAGCCAUUUCAAACCCAGAGGGACCACCGAACAGGACAUGGCAGCAGGGCAGGAAGAGAAGCAGGUAGGUGGUGUGUCUGUUGGGUUUUGAAUUAUGGAAGACCAGUCUUUCUGGGCCCCAAAGCCUCCUUCCUUCUUGGGUGGCUUCGUGUUUCCAUGCCUUUCUGAUCUGUGAAGGGCUUUUCCUCUUGCAGACAUAUCUAGCCUGAUGUGACUUUCUUAACCGCAGUAGUUAGUGACUGGUUCUGCAUACUGACUGAGCUCACAGAUUUCCUGGGAAUAGGAGUAGGGGAAGGUGAAGAAAGGCAGAGGGAUGGUCAGGAGAAGCUGGACCCAGUGAGGAGGGUGUAGGCCUUGGGGAGGAGGAAGACCCGGUUUAAGGAGUUCUGUAAUAUGUUUGGGCCACCAGAUUGGACCAAAUUGGAGCCCAUAGAGAACCCGGUGAAAGAGGGAGUCAUGGGCUCUGUCCCAGCCUCUGUUACACCAUCCGUGAAUUUGGUACAGGGGGAGACAAUGAUAUGUGAGAUGGGGCCAAGGUGUUAUUCUAUCUCUCAUGUUCUCUGAAGAUGCUUUACCUGGGUAUGGCCUGAGUUCUGUCUUGCUCCCUCUUUUUCGAACUCCAGUUUCCAGGGAAGUAGAAUGGGAGGCCCAGCCAGCAAAAUGUACUGUUUUGGAUGUCAGUAGUGCUAUGCAUAGGAGGAAAAAGCCUUUAUGGCUUUUCUCACAGGAAACUGUUAGAGCUGGAUUUUUCAGGUAUGUAAGACAUUUGUCUACCAAACCUGGAGAGUUGAGUUUGAUCCCAGGAGCCCAUGGGAAAGAUGAAAGGCGAUGGCUGAGUCUAUAACAUUGUACCCUGAACCUGUAGCUCUGCACCCGUGAAGUCAAGCCAAUGUGUAUACCUCUAACGCACAGUGGCCAGAGAGACAUGAGGUGAGUACAGUCGAGAUGGCGAGCUUGGUUGUCAACUUGACAUAGCCAGGAAUAGGGAAGCUAAGCUAAGGGAUUGCCUCAGUCGUAUUGGCUUUGUUGGCAUGUCUGUGGAGGCAUUUUCUUGAUUCUAGUGGUGUGACAUGUGUGCCCUCCAUUGUAAACACACACACACACACACACACACACACACACACACACACACACACACAUUAAAAAUUAAAAAAAAAAAAACAAAAAACCGAAAAAGGGCCUGCAAGGUGGGUUGGUGGGCGAAGGUGAUUGCUACCAAGCUCGAUGACCUGAGUUUAAUCUCUAGGACUCACAAGGUGGAAAGAGAAAAUCAACCUUGCAAGUUGUCCUUUGACCUCCACACAUGCACUGUGGCAUGUCCUCCAGUAAACUUACUCAAAAGCUCUCAAAACAAAAGAAAACAAAAAAAGAAUCAACUCAGGAAACUAGUAGAGCUUUCUUUCUGGUGAGAAUCCACCAUGACCUUACAGUGUCCAAUGCGUAACAACUUUUGUUUUGAAACAGGGACCCAGAGAGCCUUGAACUUCAUAUGCAGCAAAGGCUGGCCUGGGCUUUCUGAUGAUCAUCCUGUUUCUCUCUCCCCUGUGUUUGAUCGUGGGCGUGGGAUACCAGGCCCUCCUUUCUGCAGGCUCUUUUUGAUGUGAAGUGUUUCACUUGGUCUGGCUGCUGAGGAUCAUGCUUGGGUCACCCCCGACUAGGUACAGAGAAACCCUCUGGCUCUGACACAGGAGAGCUUUAGGCCUGAAUUCCUCCCUUCAAGGGCUUCCUUCCCAGGCCUCCGCCUUUCCUGGAUGCUUCCCACCUCUGGGUUGUUUCCCUGCUCUCCUCAGGGUGCUCUUUUUUUGUGUGUGUCUGGCUUCCUGUGGCCUCCUUGUUUAGCUUCAUUGAAGACUCAGACUUCAGUCUUGAUGAUCCUUCCUUGAGGCUCUUCAGUGACCCGAGGGCCAUUAUUUGAGGUCUUCUGGCAGAAUUCAGUAUGGUAGUCACCCUCAAAACCAGAUUGCACUUUCCUUGUCCUAAAGCCAAGCCCUUGCUCCAGAUUUCCUAGGCUGAGUUUCAAGCCCCAGCCCCAGUGUCAGUCAACAGGCACUGUGUGACUGUCUCUUUUUCCCAGCUCUGAACUAUUCGUUAACCCACACCUCCAAGGCCCUGUCCUGCUUCCUAUCGGCAGCAUCUAGUUUUCCUUUCCAAAGUGGUUUCUGAGAUUUUGGGCUCUUAAGGGUUAAGAGGCAGUCCCUUCCUCUCUCCAGCUGCAGCUGCAACCUACUUGGAUUUUGGGCCUGGGCCAGAUGAGGACGAGUAUUUAGAGUAAUCCUACCCUAUUCCCAGCCUGGUUCAAGUGGAGGGAACCCCUGGUAGGUAAAAAGUACAGAUUGCAAAUAGGAACAGUUCAGGCAGGUAAGUGGGAUGUGGGAGUUCAGAGUUUGCUUGGUUUAGUCGAUUUUCUAUGGUCAGUAACAAUACCACAGACUGGAUGAACUACAGAGAAAAGACAUUUAUUUUGGCCUACGAUUCUGGAGGUCUAAGGUUGAGGGGCUACCUUGAGGCAGUCCAUAGCAUCACAUGACAAGAACCACAAAGUUCUCCUCUCAUGUGUCUAUUGGUAUACAUUUUCUUAUAAAGAUACCAAUAUAAUCAUGGGGGUGGGGUGGGGCUCCACACUGAUCUGAUGACAUUGUCUAAUCUUUUGUUUAAUUUUUUAAAUUAAAUUUGAAUUCUCCCCCCGCCCUCUCUCUCUCUGUAGGUCUGAGAACAUCUUGUAGGAUUUAUGAAUCCCGGGGAUUGAACUCAGGUCAUCAGGUUUGGAUACAAGCGCCUCUACCCACUGAGCCAUCUCAGCGGCCAGCCACUGUCUAAUCCUAAUCAUUCCAAAAGUUCACAUCUCUAAGCAUUAGAGCGGGGUUGUUUUCAUCCUUUUGAUACCUCAGUCUGGGGGUUAAAUUCCGACUUGGAUUUUGAAGGAGACAAAUCAUAUUAAAAUUCUGUCUCGGGGUUGGGGAUUUAGCUCAGUGAUAGAGCGUUUGCCUAGGAAGCGCAAGGUUCGGUCCCCAGCUCCGAAAAAAAGAACUAAAAAAAAAAUUCUGUUUCAGCCCCCCUGUAAUGGUUAAUGUUGUCAGUUUGACAGGAUCUAGACUUACCGGGAGGGAUUAUCUAGAUUAGGUUAAUGAAGUAGGAGGACCUACCUAGGUGUGGGCAGCACCAUCCCCUAGGCUGGGAAUCUGGCCAGCAUAAAAUGGAGAAAGCUAGUGACACCCGCAUUCUUCUCUGUCUGCUUCCUGACUGUGGAUGCGAUGUGAGCAGCUGCCCACCCUCUUGCUACCAUGACUUCCCUGCUAUGAUGCACUGUACUCUGUACCUCUAAACUUCAACCGAGAGCCAGAGCAGACCCUUCUCUCUUCAAGUUGAUCUCGUCAGAUACAUUGUCACAGUGAUGAGAAAAGCAACCAGCUCAUCCCCAAUACUCCUUCCAAUACAAAUAUAGUAAUUAUUUCACCCUCUUCUUAAAUUGGUCUAGCAUCGAUUAAGGAGUCCAGAGUUCAAGAUCAUCUGAGACUCAAAGCAAAUGCCUUUUAGCUCUGAACCUGUGAAAUCAAACCAAUGUAUUUGCCUCCAACACACAGGGAUAGGACAGACACAAGGUUUGUACCCCCUGAGAUGGUGAGCUUGGUUGUCAACUUGACAUAGCCAGGAGUAGGGAACUUCAGCUAAGGAAUCGCCUCAGUCUUCGUGGCUUGUCGACAUGUCAGUGGAGACAUUUUCUUGAUGUUAAUUGAUGUAUGGGGGUCCAGAUCAUUGUGGCCCAUGGAUUCUUCUUGUCUGUGACAGCCUCUAGUUUGAAAUCUCUCCUGAAUGUGCUGUUUACUUUCUUCCCUGGCCAAGCUGUGAAUCUUCUAAUUGGUUUUACUCUGCGUUUCAUUUCACAGCAGAUCUGACUAUUGAGUAACCAGCAAUGCUCACACCACAGUCUGAGUGUUCGGCUGUGAAAUUUUCACUCAGUGAACUAGUGUGCUGUAUCUCUAAGCUUAACUUUCCAAAGUCGAUUUUUGUUUCUUUUUUUUUAAGGAUUUAUUUAUUAUAUAUAAGAACACUGUGGCUGUCUUCAGACACACCAGAAGAGAACACCAGAUCCCAUUACAGAUGGUUGUGAGCCACCAUGUGGUUGCUGGGAUUUGAACUCAGGACCUCUGGAAGAGCAGUCAGUGCUCUUAACCACUGAGUCAUCUCUCCAGCCCCUUUUUUCUUUUCUCUUUUUCCUUUCCUUCCCUUCCCUUCCCUUCCCUUCCCUUCCCUUCCCUUUCCUUUCCUUCUCUCCCUCCCCCAUCCCCUCUCUCUUUUGAGACAGGUCUCUCUAUGGAGUCCUGACUGUCUUGGAGGUUGCUAUGUAGAUUGGACUGGUCUUGAACUAACAGAGAUCCUUCUGCCUUAAAAGUGUGCACACCACACCCAGCUUCCACAAAGUCUUUCAGUACAGCCACAAUGCACCCACAUUCUUUUCCGUGGUAUAACAUGAGUAAACUUUAGUUCACUUUCCAGUGGCACCUCGUUUAUGACUGAGAUUAGGUCCCUGCUCUCUUUCCUGAGUCCUCACUAGAAUCACCCACAAUGCUCCAGGCUUCAUGCGAUAUUUAUACCUUUUUUUUUUUCUUUUUUUUUGGAGCUGGGGACUGAACCCAGGGCCUUGCGCUUGCUAGGCAAGCGCUCUACCACUGAGCUAAAUCCCCAACCCUGAUAUUUAUAGCUUUUAUAAAGUUUCCUCCUGCCUCCUGGAUGUUGUUCUUCCUUUCUCCCCUUUGGUGUUCCUUACCUUCCCACUCUGUAAACUUUGGAGAAGCUGGCCUCAACCUGUGAUCCUUCAUAUCCACGGCCAGGUGAGUUUAUGGCACCCAAACACGGAUUAUUCCCAAGUUUAUACUCCCAGGCUGUGUUCUCCACAGAACACCAGCUUACAGAUUUCCUCAUCUGUGGCAGCUCCCGUCUUAGGAGUGUUAUGAGGAUUAAGCGAUCCAGGCCCGUGAAGUGAUGGAGAAACACACUGCUCAAAGUGGAUACUAUGAUUUUAAAUGUUUUCUAUUAAUCUCUUUAUUUUAUUUUUUGUGGUGGUGGGAUGAAACUCGGGUCUUCACUCCUGCCAGGCAAGCGCUCCACCACUGAAGCGCACACCAAGCAGAGCUUGCUUUAUGGCGCAGCUGUUAUCACUGCUAUCACUGUUGUUGUUCCUGCCAGCCAGCUCCUUUUGGACAUCUAGAAUCAUCUCCGACAUGACUCAUCUCAAACCCCAAACUUUUGCUAUCUGCAGCACUUGUCUCUCUCAGUAGAUGACAACUGGGUCCUCCCAGGAACUUAGGACAAGAAUCUUGGAGUCAUCUUGCCUUUCCUAUUUUUUCUCUCUCACAUCCCAAAUAGAAUCCAUUAGAAAAUCCAUUAUCUCUCCCUGGCAUAUAUUCAGAGUGUGGCCACUGUGGUCUUUGCCUGUGUCACCCUGAGUGAUCUCCUCCACACUGCUUCUUGCUUCUACCCAGGUUUAUUUGUGCUUUGUUCUCAACACAGCAUCUAGAAGGUUCUUUUCUGAUAUGAGUUGAGUCAUGUUUGCUAAUGCUCUGACUUCCUGUCUUUUCCCUUUCAACCUGCAUGGCCCGUGAGCUGCCUUCUCACACCUGUUCCUCUGCUCACCUCCACCCCCUUGGUUGUUCUCAGAUGUGCCAAACGCUUUCCUGUCUGAGGACUUUCUACUACUCUUGCCUUUGCCAUAGCAAAACAUCGAUUUUUUUCUCUUUUAAAAAUAAUUAGAUAAGAAUUUCUGUCCUGUUCUCCCCAUCACCUUAAAUUUUCUUUUAUGUGCAUGGGGUUUGGUCUGCAUGAAUAUCUGCGCACCAUGUGCGUGAAGUGCCCGUGGAAGCCAGAAGAGGGCGUUAGAUUCCUGAACUGGAAUUACAGGCAGUUGUGAGUUGGGAAUGAACCCCUGGUCCUCUGGAAGAGCAGCUAGUGCGCUUAGGUGCUGAUCUCUCCCUCCACACCCAUAUUGCCAAGUUUCUACAGAUUAUGAUAGAGUUUGCACAAAACAUUGGAAGUUUGGGGGCAGUGAGCCGGCCAUACAGAGACAUCCUAGAGACCUUGUUAGGGCCAGAUUUCUAAAGUCCUUGGGGAGAUGGCUUAAUGGUAAAACUGCUUGCUGUUCAAGUGCCAAGGCCUGAGUUUGAAUCCUCAGAAUGUCUGUAAAAAUCUAGAGGCAGCAAUGCACAUUUGUAAUCCAGUGCUCCUAUGGGGAGAUGAGAGGCGGAAGCAGAAAAAUCCUUGGAAGCUCAAGGGUCAGCCAGUCUGGUUUGCACAGUGUUGAACAAGAGACUGCGUCAAACGAGGUGGAAGACUAACAUGCCAGCUUGCCCUCUUGAGGGCAGAAGACAUGCUUUUGACACAUGUCUGCCUCCAUUCAUAUACAUGAGCAUGGAUGUGUGCACAUGUGUGUGCACAUGCACGCACGCGCGCGCGCGCGCGCGCGCGCGCACACACACACACACACACACACACACACAGAGAUUAAAAAGCAAGCAAAAAGUUCUUGAAUGUCCUUGAUCUGCAGGGAAGUGUGUGUGUGCAGGGAAGGAUUGAGAGCAAAGUAAAACGAGGGACUGAAGCAGUCAUCGCAGGUGUUUUAAUGCACUGUUGAAUGUAAAAAUGGAUGCUCAAAACUAUGAUAAAAUAUGAAUUAUUUUGGGAGGCAGAGGCAGGCAGAUCUUUGUGAGUUCAAAAUCAGCCUGGUCUACAAAACAAGUCUGAGACAGCCAGGGCUCUGUUACACAAAGAAGCCCUGUUUCUAAACACACACACACACACACACACACACACACACACACACACACACUCACUCACUAACACAUACUCACACACACACUCACUAACACACACUCACUAACACACACACUCACACACACUCACUAACACACACACUCACUAACACACACACACACACACACACUAACUGAUGGGAUGAAGCCAGAGAGUUGAGUUCAAGAGUAGCAUUUCACUCACUGCACAUUGGUCUGGGCCCCAGCCUGCAGGACAGUGGCUCAAGGUCUUUUCUAGACUGGGAUAAGAGGCAGCUUGGGUGUCUGGGAGGGAUUGGCUAACCAGGGACACUAAGCAGUUUUCUAGGGAAAAAUAAGAACAGGCAGGGCUUGGAGGUUUUCAUCUGGACAGGAGCUCCUGGCCUGUGAAAUGAGUUAGUGGAUCUUGCCUCAGAGGAACCAGAAAACCCUAUAUGGAUUGGCUGGGUAAAGAGCAGGGAGACUUGUGGUAUUGGAUCCAGGCAGGGACACAUGGGCAAUGAGGCCCUCACCUGGGUCUUGGUCACUGCUAGGAUUCCUCACAGUUGCUAUGCUUGGGUGCUUCCUGAAAUGAGAGUCAGAGGUGGCACAGGGACCGGGUUCUGUUCUGGGCGGCAGUCCAUGGCCAUCCUCCAUUCCUCUUGCCCUUGAUCUCUCCAAGGCCAUCAGUACUGUUCCUACCAGAGGCAGAGAAGGAUGCAUGGGGUCGAUCUCAACAACUCUCCUAAGAUCUUCCUGGUGUGUCACCCUUACCUGUGCAGAACUCUCCGGAUAUGCAUUCCAGAAAAGCCCAGAAAUGGAUAUGCCUGAUUUUCAGGGCAAGAGCUGGCCCAGGUAUGAGGUGAUAAACUGCUCUGUGAGGCAGGACCUGGGCUGGAGGGAGGAAUUCCUGCCCCUCUCCCAUUAUUGUUUUUUGCUUCUUGGUUCCCAGACAUGUGCACCUGCUCCAGGGAGGGGAAGAAUCCCUGACUGGCUCUGCCUUAACUUUAGCCCUGUUUUCUACCUUCAUGGUCUGAUUUUAAUUUUUGAUCCCUAAGUACAGAGAUGAGUUAAUCACCUCAGGACCCUCUUAUUCACCCCCGCAGCAGCUUCCUCUUCCACACUUGCAUGUUUAUCCCGCCGUACCGUAAAGCCCAGCUGACAGUUCCUUCCCUGCUAAGUCCACGGGUGAAUUAACUGUGCACUCAUUCAGUUGCAUGUUUGUGCCCAUCGUGUACACUCGCGGGCGAUAUUAUUUCAUGCUUUCAAGCGGUAUAGGGGACAGAGAUCCUUCCUCUCACUUCUCAUUUCUCUCAGCACUGUGUUAAAGAUGUCUCCAAGACAACAUGUGUUUAUACGUGGCUGUGUCGUGGGAUACCUCAGGAUGCUUCUCUCUACAUUUCACUGAAACACUGAUAGUGAUGGAUAUUUAGCCCAGGCUGGUCUCGAACUCAUGAUCCUUCAGCAAAUCCUACCAGCAUGCGCCACCAUAACCAGCAGUGAUGGAUAUUUAGAUGAUCACUUGCACCCACAACUUCAAACACACAGCAGUGAAAGUCCCUGUAGAUAACUCCUUUGAGAUCUCUCUCUCUCUCUCUCUCUCUCUCUCUCUCUCUCUCUUUCUCUUUCUCUGUGUGUGUGUGUGUAUGCGAGUGCGAGUGUGUGUGAGCGAAUGCAAUAAGGCCUAUUGCUUUCUAGAAUGGUGGCACACCUCCCAUCCUGCUAGCCAUGCAUGUGGCAUAUGUGGAGUUACAGGGCUGUUACUCCUAUGUAGUUCUGAGCUCUCAGUUUUAUCUGGCUUUCUAAUACUUGCAUUUGAUUUGGCUAAGAAGAAAGUGGAAAGUAAGUAGUCCAUUUCCAGUUGGAGUUUGUUGUAUGACUGUUUGGUGGGGGCACAGUGACAUCAUCGUCAUCAUGUGGUUAGCUUUGUGAAUUUCCUCAUCAGUAAGACGAUUUUCCUUUUCUUUGCUCAUGGUGUGCCGGAGUUCAGGCGUUUCUUUUAUUUGAGGGAGGGUUUCAUGUUGCCUAGAAGGGCCUUGAGCUUACUAUGUAGCCAGUGAUAGCGUGAACUUCUGGUCCUCCCAACUCCACCUCCCGAGUGCCAGAAUUAUAGUUUGUGCCACCAGGAAUUGACAGUCCUGCCUCAGCUUCAGGAGGGUGCUUGUCAUCGGUCCUGCUACUGUAGCGUUUGCCCCCAUUACCCCCCCACACUUCCUUUUCUUCAAUCUUUCCCUCUUUCUUUUUUAUGACAGUCUUGCUGAUAGCCUAGGAGCCCUUGAAUUAAGGCUUUCGUGUCUCUCCUUCCUGAGGGCUAGAAUUACAGGCGUUUGCCACCAUGUCUGGCCCAAUAUGAUACUCUUUUUUUUUUAAAGAUUUAUUUAUUCAUUUAUAUAUAUAAGUACGCUGUAGCUGUCUUCAGAUACACCAGAAGAGGGCAUCGAAUCUCUUUACAGAUGGUUGUGAGCCACCAUGUGGUUGCUGGGAAUUGAACUCAGGACCUCUGGAAGAGCAGUCGGGUGCUCUUAACCGCUGAGCCAUCUCUCCAGCCCCCAAUAUGAUACUCUUAAUAGUACUUUUAUUUUUUUCGUUAAACACAUUCAGGUCAAUAAUAAUUUUAUUUUAAUUUAAUUGUUUUGAGACAGGGUGUCUCUAUGUAUCCCUGGCUGUCCUGGAACUCACUAUUGAAACCAGGCUGGCCUUGAACUCACAGAGGUGUACCUGCCUCUGAUUGCCAAGUCGUGUCCCAUGUCUCAAAAGAGAGUGGAGUUGGGACUGGUGAGAGAGCUCUGUGGUAAGAACUCUUGCUGUGGGGUUGGGGAUUUAGCUCAUUGGUAGAGCGCUUGCCUAGGAAGCGCAAGGCCCUGGGUUCGGUCCCCAGCUCCGAAAAAAAGAACAACAACAAAAAAAAAGAACUCUUGCUGCUUUUCCAGAGGACCCAAGUUUGGUUCCCCGCACCUAUAUCUAUCAGGUGGCUCACAGCCUUGUAGGUCCAGCUUCAGAGAACCCAUCAUCUGUGGUCUCAAUGGACUUCAGCACUUACACUCACACCCCCCCCCCACAUAGACAUUUAGUAACAGUAAUAGUACUAGUAACUCUUUAGUAUUGCCAUUUGAUUCUUUCCUUAUAUAGCUCAGUGCCGCCUUGAACUCCUUGGCCCAGCCCGGUCUCCUUAUCCCUACCCUUGAACACUGGGCUAAUGAGCAUAGAAGUCACAACACUUGGACACCUGGCUGGUGUUUUUGUUUUUUACUUUUCUGCUCAAAAUUGUCUCGAUGAUCUUGGUUUCUUAUUCUUCAAUGUAAAUUUUAAAUUUUAGUGUAAAAGUUUCUGAAUUCCUAAACAUAAUCCCAAGUAAAAUUCUGAUGAUAGCACAUUAAAUUUGAGGAGGAAGUCAUUCCAAAGAUGCAUAUGAAAUGUUUCCCAUCUACCAAGAUAACGUUUAUGACCAUAAGAAGAAUCUUACGGUUGUUUUUCUCUCGGGAUGGCUUGGCUAUCCUUAACUGCCUAAGUGGCAUUGAGUUUUGGGUAUCUUAGUACCCAAAACUGGGUCUAAACAGAGUAGUUCCAACUUGUUGCUAUUGCUGUUUCCAUCAUUUGGUUUUUCAAUCCAGUAUCGUUGUGUGGCUUUUUCAUUACUUUUGGUCGUUUAUUGAUUUUGUUUGACUUUAACUAGGUAAGCGAUCAGAUUCCUUCUAAAUAAUGGCAUUUUAAAGUCUUCUGUUUUAAUCCUUAAUUUUCUUGUAUUUUUUUUUUUAGGUGGAGUAUGUGUUAAGCCCCUAGUCUCAUGUCAGAUGAUUGGCCCUUCUGCUGAAGAUGUACACAGGCACUCUCACUUGGACUUUGUUUCCAUGCUCAACUGGAUGGCUCACCUCUCUCUCUCUCUCUCUCUCUCUCUCUCUCUCUCUCUCUCUCUCUCUCUCUCUCUCUCUCUCUCUCUCUGUGUGUGUGUGUAAACAUACCUGGUGCCCUAGGAGGCCAGAAGAGGGUGUCAGACUCUCAGACUCUCUUAUUCUGGAGGUACAGAAGACUGUAGUUGCUGGGAACCAUACCUUGUUCCUCUGCAAGAGUAGCCAGUGCUCUUAGCUGCUGAGCCAUCUCUCCAGGCCCCCCUUACACUAUUUUAGUGAUUUGGUGGUAGGUGGGGAUGGUGGUUCGUGCAUGUCUGCCUGCCUCCUUCUAGGAGACUCAAGUAACAGCUGAUGGAUUCUAAUAAAGACUUCAUUUGUUACAGGGCUUUUGAGUUUCUAAAUCAUAUUUGUAGAUUUAUAGGUACCUGAAUCUUUAAGCAAUGGAGGAGACUUCAGAGGUUACUGCAGGAGAGAGGACAAAGAGAAGGAUCGAUGGCUGUUUUCCAAGGAUGGCUCUGAGGGAGAACACAAAUGUCUACUCAGCGAAUUCUCGCUGUGCAGAUAAUGCUGCACGCAUCUCCUUUGUCUCCCGGUGGAGUCCUGCAAAGUCAAUGAUGUUUAGUGACAUUUGUGGGACGGACUUGCUCUCUUUUGACAAAGAGGAAGGACUAUUUGUUGCCUCAGGGCUGGUAGAGGGCAUAGCAAAAAGCUGUGGCUGGAAGACAGUCUUAUAUAAGCCACAUCCCUUCCCGAAUAAACACUUAAAGGAAAGUCUGAGAGGCGUCUUCACUCACACCAGGUGCCCUUUCAAAUGCCACCAGAGUCCUGCAUGACUCUGCAGCAGACGUCCUGCUCAGUGAGGCUGAAUUUGAGAAACUGUGUUAGGUAGCAUUUUAUGCCAGGCAGGAAUGUGGGGCUUCUCAGUAAAUGGAUUUGGAGCAAAUAAGUAACUUCGACAGAACAAAGCCAAAACAAGCAAACAAAGAACAAAGUUUCUUUUACUUUGUGCUAAAUUUCAUAUACAUAGUUACAUAGUGAUAAAACCUAAAACCUCAAAUGUGCUUUUUUUUUUUUUGAAGGAAGUGUGGGUAAAUAGUUUUGAAUUCAAGGGGAGGAGAAUUUCUUUUUGUGUUUUUGUUUUGUUUUGGGUGCUCGAACCCAGGGCCUUACAUAAAUGUUCUACCAAGUUGCCAACCCUGGAAAGGCCUUCUGAGUAUAACCUGAAACUCAGAAGGUGAAUUUAAAAAAAAAAGCUGGGCAUGACGUCACAUACCUGUAAUGGAAGCUGGAGGCAGGAAGAUUGCAAGUUUUGAAGAUUUAAAGCCCACCUGGGGUGAAUAGUGAGACACUCUUUUAAUAAGUUGGGUUGUAGCUUCCUGGUAGAACAUUUACCUAACCUUGGGUUUAACAGUCAGCCCAGAGAGAGGAGGAGGAGAAGGAAGAGGGGAAGGAGGAGAAGGAGGGGGGAGAGAAAGAGGGGAAGGAGGAAGAGGAGGAAGGAAGAAGAAACAAAGUUAAAUCGAUGUGGCUGGAGACGCAGCCCAGUGACAGUUCACUCGCUUAGUACACAGGAGGCCUUUGGUUUACUUUCCAGAAUCAGAAGAAGAAGAAAAAAAGGAAAAAAAAAAGGAAAAGGAAAGAUUCAAUUAUAUAAAGUAAUAAAAGAGCUUCUAUUUUCAAAAGAAACAAUAUAUUUAAGUGAUCAUUUUCAGCUGAACAUGGUGGCACACGCCUGUUAUUCCAGCCCUGGGAAGGAUGAAGGGGGUCCUCUAGGAGUUAUAGGCCUUGUGAGCUGCCUGACAUAGGUGCUGGGAACUGAACUUGGGUUAGAGCACUGCAGGUGGUCGGGGGUGAGGUGAGGACAUCUCCCUGAGCCCUCACCACCUCCCAGCAGAUAGGUGGCAAGGCCAGCUUUCCUGAGCUCCUGCCCUCCAGGCCAGUAUUAAAUACUUGAAAUAGAGAAUCCACUCAUGUGAAUCAUUAAGAAACAAGUUCAGGGGAAUGUGGUGUGCAAACAUAAGAGUCCCCUGUCAGGGAGGAAGAAUUGGGGUCCUGGAGACUCAGAUGGUUACAGGAAAUCCUCAUUCCCUCUUCCCUGACCAGACUUGGGGGGGUCUUGCUCUAAAACUAACCCUCGAUGAGUACUUCCCUCCUCACUGCCACAGAUCUUUCUCAUAAUUUGCUUAAAAAAUGCCUUUUGGGAUGUCUUCUCAGCCUAUUUGCUGUUUCUGAGCUCUAACUGUUCAGUCUCCCAGGACCUCUGCAGUAUUCUUAUACCAAUGCACCUGUCUCUCUUAGACACAACUGAAGACAUCUGACUCCAGGGUUGGUCUGAGUGAAUUACAUUCUUAUGAAUAUUCGAAUGUGACUCAGACAAGUAGGACUUGUAAGGACGUCUAAAGUUGGAGCUGGAUGGUCAAAUUCGUGCCAGUGUAAAAGUACAGUGGAGAAAACUAGAGAGAGGAAUGGGGAGGGGAGAGGGGGAAGAGGGGGAGAGAGAAGAAUGAGGCACUAAGAUUUGGAGGAGAAAAAGAAGUUGUAGGAGAAGGAGGGGGAGAAAGAGGAGGAGGAGAAGGAGAAGGGAGAGAAAAGCGAAGGUGAAAUUCUGCACCUGACAGGAGGAGAGUCCAGCUUCCUGGCCCCCGGGCCCCUACUUUUGCAGCCCUGAGAUAAAUAGAAAUGGGGCCCACACCCAAUAACUUAAACGGUGGUGUUCUCAUAGAAAGUGCCUUUUGAAUAACUGAUUUUAUUAUUUAUAACAGUUUUAAGGUGCCUGGCAUUGUGGUUCAUGUAAUCCCAGAACUUGAGAGGCAGAGGCAAGAGUUCGUUAUUUUUAACACACAGCAAGUUUCAAGUCAGUCUGGACCAUGGAAUCCUGUCUCAAAAACCUGAAACCAGUGUUGGGAGAUGGCUCAGGGGGUAAAGACACUUGGUAUGCAAGUCUGAGGAUCUGAGUUCAAAUUGCUAGUGUCCACAUAAAGAGGUGGACACAGGUGCCCAAUGCCCCAGAACGGGGAGGUAGAGAUAGACUGAUCCCGGGACUUUACUGGCCAGUUUGUGUAGCAGCUCUGGUUCUUUGAAAGACCCUGUCUGAAAGGAGUAAGUGCGAGUGGUAGUGGAAAGGGCCUGACACCAUCCUCUGGUCUUCAUAUGUGACCUCACACCCAGGUACCAUACUGCACAGAUACACACCACCGGAAAUAAAAUACAAGGGGAUCAAAACGUGGCUCAGUGGUUAAGAGGAUGGACUGCUCUUCCAUAGGACCCAGGUUCGAUUCUCAGCACCUACAUGGUGGCUUACUGUAACUCCAGUGUCAGGGGAGCCAACACCUUCCUCUGGCCCCCACUGGCUCUAGGCAUGCACAUGGCAUACCGUCACGCAUGCAGGCAAAACGUCGGGUCAGUACACAUAAAAUAAUAAAUCCUAAAAAAAAUAAAAAAAUGAAGCAAAACAACAACAAAACUACCAAGCAGGUAAGCAAAUAAUCCCAGGAGUAGGGAUUCAUCGCACACUCCUACCACAUACACAGCCUCUCUGUGUCAGUAUCCCACAACAGUGUGGGCUUCAUUCCUCACAAACAGUAACUGUGCUAACACGCCAGCGCUGCCAGAGCUGUAGUGUGCUUUAUGGCUCAUGCUUGGCAUUUUAUAUUCUAUAGACUCUGACAUGUGUGUAAUGGCGUGUAUUCACCCGUAUAGUGCCAGAAAGCCUAGACUCAUGGUCCCCCCAGUCUCUGUGCCCUGUCUGUUUGACUCUUCUUCCUUCCCAACCCCUGGUGAUCACUACUUCCCUUUUUUUUUCUUUUUUUUUUUUUCCAGGGCUGGGGACUGAACCCAGGGCCUUGCGCUCGCUAGGCAAGCGCUCUACCCCUGAGCUAAAUCCCCAACCCCUCACUACUCCCUUUUUAAAAAUUAAUUAAUUAAUUUUUUAUUUUCAGGAUAUCCAGGUUGCAGUUCCCCCUCUCUCCCAUUCACCCUCCCCUCUCCCCCAGAUCCAUUCCUUCUCCAUUUCCCUUCAGAAAAGAACAUAGCUUCCAGGGAUAUCCACCAACUAUGGCAUAACAAGAUACAAUAAGACUAAGCACAAACCCUCUUAUCAAGCCUGGGUGAGGCAACCCAGUAGGAGGAAAAGGGUUCUGAGAGGGUCAGAGACAACCCCAACCCCAGUGUUAGGAGUCCCACAAAAACACCAAGCUAGUGAGAUCAUGGAUCCUUUUAUUGUCUCCAUUAUUUUGCCUUUAAAAAAAGGAAUGUAAUAUAGCCAGUCAUGUCAGUCGGAUCUUUGAAUUCCAGGCUAGCCAGGGCUACCUGGUGAGGCACUGUCUCAAAAAGGAUGCCAUAUGGAAAAAGCUAUAUAUUAUGUAGUAUAUAGUGUGUGUGUGUGUGUGUGUGUGUGUGUGUGUGUGUGUGUGUGUGUACAGUGGAGAAAGAUAGAGAGAGAGAUGGGGAGGGGAGAGAGAGAGAGAGAGAGAGAGAGAGAGGGAUAGAGCGCGCUGGAGGGAGAGGGAACAGGGGAGAGAGAGAAUGAGGCACUAAGACUAGGAGGAGACAAAGGAGGCAGAGGAAAGAUGAGGAAGAGGGAGAGAAAAAUAUAGAAACAUAAUCUAGUUAUGACAAGAACUCCAUAUAUGCAUAUGUAUGUUUGUGCAUAUGUAAAUAUACACAUAUACAUGUAUAUAUGUACACUUACACAUACACAUGCAUACACAUAUACAUACAUACAUGUAUAUAUAUGGAACUAUAUAGUUCAUAGCUUUUUCAGAGUGGUUCUUUUGCUGAGUAAUAUGCAUUGAAGCUUCCUCCAUGGCUCUUCAUGGCUUGGUAGCUCAGAUCUUUUCAUCACUGAAUAAUUUUGCUGUUCUUUUAAGUCAAGAUAAGAAAAGAAUUCUCCUUCUGAAAUUAUUCCUUCUCUAGGUGCAGUCAGAUAACUCCACGGAAGGACACACCGCUACCAUUAAAUUGAAAUGAUGAAGAGACAUGCCAUUUUUUUCUAAAAUAAGAACUUGCUUUUGUGUCCUUUUGGAUAGGUUGGAAAACUGUCAUUUCGUUUGCCAAGAGACAAAAGGACAAGGCUCCCAGUACUUGGGAGGCAGAGACAGGUGGAUCUCUAUCAGCCAGGAUUGCAUAGUGAGGCCCUGUCUCAAAGAAACAACAAAGGUCCACAAAGAACGGAAAGACUGAAAGGAUCUGGAAUGAGCAGGGCAGCCUGUGUCCCCAUUAGAUGUUGCAUGUCCAGAGGAAUUUACCCUUCAAGCAAACGAUGGACUUAAUAUGUUUGGAGGGAAAUCCUUGUUUGUAAAUUUUUUUAUUGUGGGAUUUGAUUAAUUAAUUAAUUGUGUGAUGUACAUA